ACGGAAGGCAGCAGUGAGGAAUAUUGGUCAAUGGGCGGAAGCCUGAACCAGCCAAGUCGCGUGAAGGAUGAAGGUAUUAUGUAUUGUAAACCUCUUUAGCAGCAGAGUAAUAAGGGGGUCGUGACCCCCGAUGCAAGUAUGCUGAAAAUAAGGAUCGGCUAACUCCGUGCCAGCAGCCGCGGUAAUACGGAGGAUCCGAGCGUUAUCCGGAUUUAUUGGGUUUAAAGGGUGCGCAGGCGGUUUUUUAAGUCAGUGGUUAAAUCGUGAGGCUCAACCUCAUCACGCCAUUGAUACUGGAAGACUUGAUUGCGGUUGAGGUUGGCGGAAUUCGUCGUGUAGCGGUGAAAUGCAUAGAUAUGACGAAGAACACCGAUUGCGUAGGCAGCUGACCAAGCCGUAAAUGACGCUCAUGCACGAAAGUGCGGGGAUCGAACAGGAUUAGAUACCCUGGUA
rnacentral:rRNA from 1 species